GGAUUAGAUACCCUGGUAGUCCACGCCGUAAACGAUGUCUACUAGUUGUCGGGACUCUUGCAGUCUUGGUAACGCAGCUAACGCGAUAAGUAGACCGCCUGGGGAGUACGGCCGCAAGGUUAAAACUCAAAUGAAUUGACGGGGGCCCGCACAAGCGGUGGAGCAUGUGGUUUAAUUCGAAGCAACGCGAAGAACCUUACCUACUCUUGACAUCCUGCGAACUUGGUAGAGAUACCUUGGUGCCUUCGGGAGCGCAGUGACAGGUGCUGCAUGGCUGUCGUCAGCUCGUGCCG
rnacentral:rRNA from 1 species